GCAGAUGGCUCAGUUGGCAGAGCAUGAGACUUUUAACCUCAGGGUCAUGGGUUGUUUGAGCCUCACAUUGAGCA